UUCCAUAGGGAUAAUCCCUUUUUCAGAGCACAUCUCAUUUCCAAGUGGCUGUUGCGCUGCUGUUUGCCCCCACUCCUUCAGUGCGACAGCCUCAGAGCUGGUGGAAAGACUGCAUGCCACGGGAUAAAUUCGUAGACGUGGAAUUCCUGGAUCAAAUGAUACUAAGGGAGACUUCCCUGGAAGCAGACUUGUGUCCGCAGUGUACAAACUCACCCUGUAAUGCACACAAUGGCCAGGUAACACAAACACACAUUUAUCCCCACAGCUCACAGACUCUUGUCACAGUACACAGACUUGCCUUCCAGCACACAGACAUACCCAAAGGCACACCGACAAGCACCACAGCAAAAAGACUUUCCCCAGAGCACACAGACACUCCCAUUCCCUGUAUCAACAGACUCUCUCAAAGGCACCUAUAUUCUCCUUAAAGCAGAGACUCACCUAAGGUGCACUGAUGCACCCAGCAUGACACAGACUUGCCCUCCAUAAGGACUCCACUAUGGCACACAAACAAUCCCAACAUCACAUACUGUUCCCACAUCACACAAACACUUUCUAGGAAACACAAAGCCUACAGACUUACCCCAUAGAGCACGGCUUCCCCCACAAGACACAUUCUCAAGGCCAAUAGACUCACUCCACAGCACACAGACUGUCUCCAGAGCACACAGCUUUUUCCUACAGCAAACAGACUCUCCCCAGUGCACACAGACUCCCCUGACAUCAUACACUCUCACCACAGAUCAUAGACGCAUCCUAGAGCACAGGGACUCUUGCCAAUGAAACAGACUUUCCGCAAGAACAGACUCAUGAGACAGCUUGAAGACCCGCAUCAUGACACAAAGACUCCCACAACGGACAGACUCACCCCAUUGUGUGCAGACAAGCACCCCAGGCCACAGACCCCACAGCACAGAGACUUGCCCAACACUACACAGACACUCCCCAGAGCACAUAGACUCACCCCACAAAGCAGACUAAAUCCAUACUACAGAGACUCUCCCUAUAGCUUUCAGACAAGCUUACCCCGCCACACAGAAAUGCAACAAGACAUCUUACAACAUAUAUCACUCCUUGAUGCACAGAAUUGUGUAACAGCACACAAACUUGUUCUACAAUGCACGAAUUCAUGUCACAGAAGACAUACUCACCACAUAAUACAAAUACUUGCUCCAGACUACACUCAUUUGCCCUAAAAUAUCUGGACCUUCCCAAAAACAGAGUUACCACACAAUGUAUGCUGUGUCCCUGCAUCAUCAAAAUACAACUGAAAUUCCUCAGACCCACUCUGAUCAAUAGACAUACCUCACAAUACACAGGUUGGCAUCAGAGCGGGAAAAACUGGCUCUACCACAGAGUUAUUCCACAACAGACAAACUCGUGCUGUAGAGACACCUAAUCUUUCUCUAAGGUAUUCAGACCUACCCUUUUGGGCACAGUCACAGAUGUGAUCCACAAUACCCUCACUCAUCCCACAAUACUGUUGCAACUCACAGCAUAGAAACACAUCCCACAGCAUAACACUCUAACCCCAUGGUGCUCAGAAAUGUCAGAGCACACAUUUGCCAUACAGAUUUAUUUCAUACACAAAAAACAGUUCUUACAGUGCCUAUACAAUACAAACAUGUAUCCCAAAAUAUAUGAAACUAUUUGCUAUGUCACUCUUAGGUUUAUCCCAAAGCACAUAGACCAGUUUCACUGUUCAAGCUGCUGCCUAUAAACAGGAUAUGUCCAGUCAUGAACAGAAAUUCAUCAAAAUGUACAGAUUCACCCAUCAAUAUACAUCCUUUCCUCACAACUCACACAAACACCACUGAGCACUAGACUCACCCUAAAUGUACAGAUAAGCCCUUCAGGGCACAGACUUACUCUGUAGCAUACUAAAUCAUAUCUAUCACACUUAGAUGUGUCUUCGAUUCACAGUUAUGCCUGUAAACACACAGAUUGCCUCCACAAUGCACAGAAUUGCAUCAUAACACAGACUUACUCUACAGUGCAAAACCAACAAUGCACAUAAACAUUUCCCAGUCGGCAGAUACACAACACACAUAUUGCCGCUACAGUGUAAAGAUUUCCAUGGACAGACAUGUUUAACCAUGAUAUUGAGCUACACCUCUGGCCUACAACAACAGAAUACAGCUUGUGUAAUGAUUCCCAGCAAGGCCUCUAGACCCAUACUAACUGGGUUUGAAUCAAGGUCCCAUCAGUUGCUGAUUGUAUCACCUUGGGAAGAGAUGGAAGAUUGAGAGAGCAGGGUGCAAGAAGGGGAAGAGGGCUUCGUGCCCAGUGCACCUUAGCCACCUAGUGACCAAACUGAAUGGUGUGCUUCUCACCUCAGCCUGGUAGCCUGUCCUUGACUCCUGAGUUCCACAAUCACUUCACAACUGCAAGUCAUUGUCAUACAAAAUUUGAGUUUACCUAAGUCUGCGCAUUUGAGAGUUUUGGAAUGAUAUGCCAGUUCAAGUCACCGUCAUGUUUCUUGCUGUCUCCUGGGAGAAGACCAACAUUUGGGUUACGUGUUUCUACCCUUGUUCUUCUGCUUGUUAUUGUUGCCUCUGCAGCCAUUGGUGACCCACGUGUUAUCAUACAAAAACUGGUUAGCCUUUUAUUUGUCUUGUGGAUUUUAUCAUUUGGUUCUUAAGUAUUACAAAUUAAUACUAUGUACUUCUCAGUGAUAUAGAACUUUCAGUCAUUGUAAAUUUGCAUGAAUUAGGGUGAGAAUGGGUGCAAGCAAAAGAACAAAAAGAGGGAUGAUAGAAAUGCAAGAAGGGCAAAGAUGGUAAGAAAGGUUAUGUUAAUAGCGAACACAAUGAAAGUUCUUUAAAUGCUUGAUAAUAGUGAAAGCAACACUUCCUAGGGCAUAUUUUUGGUGUUAAUGAACC